rnacentral:rRNA from 1 species
GAUGAACGCUGGCGGCGUGCCUAAUACAUGCAAGUCGAGCGAACAGACUAGGAGCUUGCUCCUCUGACGUUAGCGGCGGACGGGUGAGUAACACGUUGAUAACCUACCUAUAAGACUGGGAUAACUUCGGGAAACCGGAGCUAAUACCGGAUAAUAUAUUGAACCGCAUGGUUCAAUAGUGAAAGACGGUUUUGCUGUCACUUAUAGAUGGAUCCGCGCCGCAUUAGCUAGUUGGUAAGGUAACGGCUUACCAAGGCAACGAUGCGUAGCCGACCUGAGAGGGUGAUCGGCCACACUGGAACUGAGACACGGUCCAGACUCCUACGGGAGGCAGAAGUAGGGAAUCUUCCGCAAUGGGCGAAAGCUUGACGGAGAAACGCCGCGUGAGUGAUGAAGGUCUUCGGAUCGUAAAACUCUGUUAUUAGGGAAGAACAAAUGUGUAAGUAACUAUGCACGUCUUGACGGUACCUAAUCAGAAAGCCACGGCUAACUACGUG